rnacentral:rRNA from 1 species
GACGAACGCUGGCGGCGUGCCUAAUACAUGCAAGUUGAGCGCUGAAGGUUGGUACUUGUACCGACUGGAUGAGCAGCGAACGGGUGAGUAACGCGUGGGGAAUCUGCCUUUGAGCGGGGGACAACAUUUGGAAACGAAUGCUAAUACCGCAUAAAAACUUUAAACACAAGUUUUAAGUUUGAAAGAUGCAAUUGAAUCACUCAAAGAUUAUCCCGGGUUGUAUUAGCUAGUUGGUGAGGUAAAGGCUCACCAAGGCGAUGAUACAUAGCCGACCUGAGAGGGUGAUCGGCCACAUUGGGACUGAGACACGGCCCAAACUCCUACGGGAGGCAGCAGUAGGGAAUCUUCGGCAAUGGACGAAAGUCUGACCGAGCAACGCCGCGUGAGUGAAGAAGGUUUUCGGAUCGUAAAACUCUGUUGGUAGAGAAGAACGUUGGUGAGAGUGGAAAGCUCAUCAAGUGACGGUAACUACCCAGAAAGGGACGGCUAACUACGUGCCAGCAGCCGCGGUAA